rnacentral:rRNA from 1 species
GUUAACGCUGGCGGCGUGCCUAACACAUGCAAGUCGAGCGAAGAGUACCAGUGUAUCGGGCUCUUAGCGGCAGACGGGUGAGUAACACGUAAACUAUCUGCCCUCGAAUGGGAGACAACCUGACGAAAGUCUGGCUAAUACCCCAUACAAUCCUCUCGGAGCAUUCCGAGGGGAUGAAAGGCCCGCAAGGGUCGUUCGAGGAGGAGUUUGCGGCCUAUCAGCUAGUUGGCGGUGUAACGGACCACCAAGGCUAUGACGGGUAGCCGAUCUAAAAGGAUGACCGGCCACAAGGGCACUGAGACACGGGCCCUACUCCUACGGGAGGCAGCAGUGGGGAAUUUUGGACAAUGGACGAAAGUCUGAUCCAGCGACGCCGCGUGAAGGACGAAGGUUUUCGGAUCGUAAACUUCUUUUACAGGGGACGAACAUCCGCAAGGAUUUGACGGUACUCUGUGAAUAAGCCACGGCUAACUACGU